GACGUAGGGCGCGAGCGUUGUCCGGAUUUAUUGGGCGUAAAGAGCUCGUAGGCGGCUUGUCGUGUCGACUGUGAAAACCCGCGGCUCAACCGCGGGCCUGCAGCCGAUACGGGCAGGCUAGAGUUUGGGAGAGGGAUGCGGAAUUCCAGGUGUAGCGGUGAAAUGCGUAGAUAUCUGGAGGAACACCGGUGGCGAAGGCGGCAUCCUGGACCAAUACUGACGCUGAGGAGCGAAAGCCAGGGGAGCAAACGGG
rnacentral:rRNA from 1 species